rnacentral:lncRNA from 1 species
AACAUGCUAGGGAUUCUGUUCAGUGUAUGCAACAAUCAAGUCUUUUAUUUUAUUUUAGUGAAUACAUAUUAUUAAAGAAGAGAUGAAGCUUAGCAUAUACAAAAACAUCGAAUGGUACAAAUGAUUUGACACCUAGGUGUGUCGCAUCUAAAUAUAAACUUUUGUGGAGAUUGUUUUUGUGAAGAACCUUCACGAUGCAACAAAACGUAAGGAGCUUCUUCUGGUGCUAACUGUUUUGCUUCAACAUCUGGAACUGCUACUAUACUCAUCACUACAAUACCAAUAUUUAUAUAUGUUAUUCAAUAAAAUUCGCAUAGUAAAUAACUAAUACUACAUGUUAAAAAAAAAUGAAUUUUACCCCAUGUAAUGGCGCAGAAGAAAACAAAAGCAAACUUCAUUGAUGAUGUUUUCAUUAUUUUACUUUCAGAUGAUAUUAUUACA